UCCAGACCCUCAGGUGUGAGACUCUAGAAGAGUGAGUGUCGAGGAUCCUGCCUCACUUCAGGCUCACUGCAGACAGGUGUAGGUACACAUGGGAUGCAGGAAGUUGGAAGUCGCUUAUAAAAAAAAAUCAAAAUCCAGGCCGAGCACAGUGGCUCAUGCCUGUAAUCCCAGCACUUUGGGAGACCGAGGCAGGGGGAUCACCUGAGGUCAGCAGUUCGAGACCACCCUGGCCAAUGUGGUUAAACCCCGUCUUUACUAAAAAAUACAAAAAAUUAGCCAGCUGUGGUGGUGGGCACCUGUAAUCCCAGCUACUCAGGAGGCUGAGGCAUGAGAAUCACUUGAGCCCAGGAGGCAGAGGUUGCAGUGAGCCAAGAU
rnacentral:lncRNA from 10 species